GACGAACGCUGGCGGCGUGCCUAACACAUGCAAGUCGAACGGAGAAGUUCAGCAAUGGAUUUCUUAGUGGCGAACGGGUGAGUAACGCGUAGACAACCUGCCUCUAAGCUGGGGACAACAACUCGAAAGGGUUGCUAAUACCGAAUGUGAACAGUGCCUCGCAUGAGAUGCUGUUUGAAGGUGGCCUCUGAAUAUGCUACCGCUUAGAGCUGGGUCUGCGUUUGAUUAGCUAGUUGGAGGGGUAAUGGCCCACCAAGGCGACGAUCAGUAGCCGGUCUGAGAGGAUGAACGGCCACACUGGGACUGAGACACGGCCCAGACUCCUACGGGAGGCAGCAGUGGGGAAUCUUCCGCAAUGGACGAAAGUCUGACGGAGCAACGCCGCGUGAGUGAAGAAGGCCCUCGGGUCGUAAAGCUCUGUCUUCAGGGACGAAUGUGCAGAUUGUGAAUAAUGGUUUGUAAUGACGGUACCUGAGGAAGAAGCCACGGCUAACUACGUGCCAGCAGCCGCCGUAA
rnacentral:rRNA from 1 species